UCCAUUAUGUACAGCAUUGCGUGAGCUUCGCUCCUUAUGUUUAACCAUUCCUGAGCCUGAAAAGGUGCAUGGAGGGUGAACGGACUACUUUGAGAAAAUUAGCGUGCUCAAUGCAGGCGACUGCUUGUAUACUUAUGCAUGGAAUAAUGAGAAAGGACCUCGGUUCUGUUUCGUUGGUUUCCGGAAGCUGAGGUAAUGAUUGAUAGGGACAAACGGGGGCAUUCGUAUUGUGGUGUUAGAGGUGAAAUUCUGUGAUCACCGCAAGACGAACAACUGCGAAAGCAUUUGCCAAGAAUGUUUUCAUUAAUCAAGAACGAAAGUUAGAGUUUCGAAGACGAUUAGAUACCGUCCUAGUUCUAACUAUAAACUAUGCCAACUGGGCAUCUGGCGAUUGCAUUCAUGCAUCGGCAGGCACCCUGCGGGAAACCAAAGUUAUUGGGUUCCGGGGGGAGUAUGGUUGCAAAAUCGAAACUUAAAGGAAUUGACGGAGGGGCACACCAGAAGUGGAGCCUGCGGCUCAAUUUGACUCAACGCACGAAAACUUACUCGGUCCGAACACCGUGAGGAUUGACAGGUUGAAAGCUCUUUCUUGAUUCGGUGGGUGGUGGUGCAUGGCCGUUCGUAGUUGGUGGAGUGAUUUGUCUGGUUUAUUCCGAUAACGAACGAGACUCUAGCCUAUUAAUUAGUGAGACGAGCGAACCGCUUUUGCGGCGAUGCCGUUCAGUCACUUCUUAGAGGGACAAGUGUCGUGAGACACUCGAAGUUGAGCAAUAACAGGUCUGUGAUGCCCUUAGAUGUUCGGGGCUGCACGCGCGCUACAAUGGAGGCUUCAAAAAGCGUUCCUGAUCCGAAAGGAGCAGGGAAUCAUAAAUAGCCUUCACGAUUGGGAUCGGAGA
rnacentral:rRNA from 1 species